rnacentral:rRNA from 1 species
GAUGAACGCUGGCGGCGUGCCUAAUACAUGCAAGUCGAGCGAACAGAUAAGGAGCUUGCUCCUUUGACGUUAGCGGCGGACGGGUGAGUAACACGUGGGUAACCUACCUAUAAGACUGGGAUAACUUCGGGAAACCGGAGCUAAUACCGGAUUACAUUUGGAACCGCAUGGUUCUAAAGUGAAAGAUGGUUUUGCUAUCACUUAUAGAUGGACCCGCGCCGUAUUAGCUAGUUGGUAAGGUAACGGCUUACCAAGGCGACGAUACGUAGCCGACCUGAGAGGGUGAUCGGCCACGCUGGAACUGAGACACGGUCCAGACUCCUACGGGAGGCAGCAGUAGGGAAUCUUCCGCAAUGGGCGAAAGCCUGACGGAGCAACGCCGCGUGAGUGAUGAAGGGUUUCGGCUCGUAAAACUCUGUUAUUAGGGAAGAACAAAUGUGUAAGUAACUGUGCACGUCUUGACGGUACCUAAUCAGAAAGCCACGGCUAACUACGUG